rnacentral:rRNA from 1 species
CAGUCGUACCUGCGGGUAAUCAGCCUUUUGGGCAUGAUUCUGUGGAGCGUGAGGAGUUAAACGCCUUCAUGCCUGCAUAUUCGUGUACUUUGGGUGUACUUGCCUGUGUGGUUAGUUAACAUCAAUUUUGGUUAUCAUAAAAUGGUUGGAGGAAUGUAGCUUCGAUUUCGAUUGAAGUGUUAUAGCCUUCGGCAGAUGUGGUGAUCGGGAUUGAGGAUUGCAACGGAUACCCUUCGGGGCUACCUGUCUGGUCUCUGAUCGUUGCUCUGGUGCCGAAAGCGUGCUUACGGUUAUCAAAGUCGAUGGUCAAUAGGUUAGAACGGGUUAAA